AUCUCUCUCACUCACUUUCUCAGCUCCUCUCUCUUUGGUUCGUUACUUCGUUACAUAUGCAAACUAUUCACGUGCAGCACGUGAUAAAGAAAGCUAGUGGCACCUAGACUAACCUUUAAGACUUGAGCUCCGUUCUUGAGCCACGAGCCUCGUCGGAGACAUCGGAUCCAACAGUAUAUUCUUGAAGAAGGUUCUUGGGUUCUUAUCUGCACGCGUUUCCAUGCCCUCAAUAAUAAUACUCAA